rnacentral:rRNA from 1 species
GGAGGGUGCAAGCGUUGUCCGGAUUCACUGGGUUUAAAGGGUGCGUAGGCGGKUWAGUAAGUCAGUGGUGAAAUCCCGUAGCUCAACUMUAGAACUGCCAUUGAUACUAUUNGWCUUGAGUAUNGUAGAGGUAAGCGGAAUAGGUARUGUAGCGGUGAAAUGCNUAGAUAUUACGUAGAACACCCAUUGCGAAGGCAGCUUACUNGGCUUAUAYUGACGCUGAGGCACGAAAGYGUGGGUAUCAAACAGGAUUAGAUACCCUGGUAGUCCACRCCGUAAACGAUGAUUACUAGGUGUUGGC